UGUAAACACAUUUGUGCACAACAUUUGAGAGAAAUAAACUUUGUUUUUUUUUGUGCUGAAUGGAACAUUUGCGGGAUCUUGUAUUUCAGCUCAUGAAACGUGGAACCGACACUUUACAUGUUGCGUUUAUAUUUUUGUUCGGUAUAUGUGGAUUAAGAGCUUCAUGAUUCAUGUAUUCUAUUCAUACAGCAGAUGGAACCCUCUCACACUUAUUGAGCCAUGAUCCAGUUCCGUGUUUCCGUUUAACUUGGUCCCCUCUUCUUGCCCGAGGAGGCGUCACCACAGCCCGCCUGCAUCGCUCUGCGCUCCGCUCCACUUAUCCGAAUCUGAUCUCGUCUGAGCAUCCACUUCCAAAUUGGGUUGUCAUUUUUUUGACCCCUUUGCUCUUCCCGCGAACAGGUCAACGUGCUCUCUACGUGGACGUUUUUGAAGACCGCUAAGAGAGAGGGAGAGAGCUGAGAGAGAUACAGAAAGAGACAGAUCUGAGAGAGAGAGAGAGAGAGAGAGAGAGAGAGAGAGCUGGCUUCGUGGAUCUUUAGCUAUAGUGUUCCCGUCCUCUCUCCCAAUACUGGACUCGUUGCGUUGGGGUCUGUACCCCUCACCGGUGGCGUUCUGUGAACAGUGAUCUGGAUACUAAACACCGAGCCUUCGAAAGGUUGUCCGUUAGCUCAUGUUACAAUCAAGAACUGCGAAGACUAUAUCGUUUAAGCGUUUUUUUUUUGUUACAAGAGGAAUCAUAAUUUACCUUAACGAUAUAAAAGCAUCGCUGACUUGGAAUCAAAUUGCUUAAUUUUUCAUUCAUUUGAGGGGAUUUUUUUGCUUCCAAGCAAGAACUCUGGACUGUUACAAGGGAGACGACGGUUAUUGUAAAGACACUGCGCUUUCAAUGCCUGGAUCUGUGCGCGACCAUUGCCGCAGCUUCGUGUGAGAUGUGGUACUGAGUCAGGAGUUUCUCAACCCUAACCUAUACCAUUAAAGGGGAAGGACAUACAACUGUUCCAGGAGUUCCUCAACCCUAACCUAUACCAUUAAAGGGGAAGGACAUACAACUGUUCCAGGAGUUCCUCAACCCUAACCUAUACCAUUAAAGGGGAAGGACAUACAACUGUUCCUAGAUUUUCUCAAGCUCUGUUGUUAGAUGGGGAGCGGCGGUGAACAGCAAUCUUCAAGUCUUUCCACAUAUUUUCAAUGGGAUUCAAGUCUGGGCUGCGGCUGGGCCACUCAAGGACCUUCACAUUGUUGUUCUGCUCCAGUGAUGCUGUGGUUGUAUGCUUGGUGGUCAUUGUCCUGUUGGAAUGCACAUCUUCACCCAAAACCUGUCGUUUGCCCUCAGAAAACCAGGCACAGGUCAUCACCCUUAUAACCCCAUCCCUACCGUGAAGCCUGUGCCGCUGAAAAACAUCCCCAUAACAUGAUGCUGCCGCCACCACCAUGCUUCACGGUGGGGAUGGUGUUAUAAGGGUGAUGACCUGCAGACAUAGCGCUUUGCAUUCAGGCCAACGAGUAACAUUUUUGUCUCAUUAGACCACAGAAUAUUUUGUUCAGGUUCUCAUCAAGGAUUUGCCUGUAUUUGGCUCCAUUCGUUGUUCCCUCUAUCCUUACCAGUCCCUGCCUCUGAACAGCAUCCCCAUAACAUGAUGCUGCCGCCACCACCUUGCUUCACGGUGGGGAUGGUGUUAUAAGGGUGAUGACCUGUGCCUGGUUUUCUGCGGACAUAGCGCUUUGCAUUUCAGGCCAAAGAUUGUUUCUUUCUAAAUCAUGUCCAAAACAAUCAAGUUGUAGUGGAUGAUCAAAGGAUUUUAGAUGCACCUGAGCCCAUAACAAAGUGGUGUGAAUACUUAUGUAAAUGAUAUAUUUCUGAAUUUAAUUUUCAUAAAAUUUGCACCAAAUUACAAAAAAAAACAUGUUUUCGCUUUUGUUAUUAUGCGGUAUUGUGUGUAGAUGCAUGAGAAAAAAAACAUAUUUAAUCCAUU